GAUAUUCCACACUUGCCAGACCACGUGCACAAGGACAGUCGCCUAGGAGGAAACAAGUCCAUGACUUAUUGGCUUGAGAGCAUUACCCCUUACGUUGACGAAUGGACUACCGCUGCGACAAAUAUCUGGGGUGAGGUUCGGCCCUUUAACUGGGAAAUGUUUGGGUUGUAUCUGCAGCGUUACCGGCAUACAACGAGGAUCUACUUGGUUCCAUCAGCUGCUACUGAUCAGAUCGAAGCCCCUCUCACCAGCGAUAUGUACCCAACUGCCUCUGUUGUGGGAACCAGACACCACGCGGGUGACUUGACAGUACAGGCGCGAGAGGAGGUUUCCGCUUUAAUGCGGCGCUUUCAGAGGGGAGAAACUAUCCCACCGCGAGAGGGCGUCUCAUGGUUGAGGCGUCUUGAUGACAAGCUACGCGGGAUUUACGCAGCUGUUACGUGUAGACGGACUUCGGAUGUUGCACUUCCUCCUCCAGCACAUCGUCCGCCACGUCCCUCUGUACAACAUUCAGAACCACGACCCUCUGUGCACCGUUCAGAACCACGACCCUCUGUGCAUCGUGCAGAACCUCAUCCUUCACAGCCAGGGAGAUCUUCCUGGCAUGAGCCACCUCCUUCACAGCCAGGGAGAUCUU